AACGAACGCUGGCGGCAUGCCUAACACAUGCAAGUCGAACGAGACCUUCGGGUCUAGUGGCGCACGGGUGCGUAACGCGUGGGAACCUGCCCUUAGGUUCGGAAUAACUCCCCGAAAGGGGUGCUAAUACCGGAUAAUGUCUUCGGACCAAAGAUUUGUCGCCUUUGGAUGGGCCCGCGUUGGAUUAGCUAGUUGGUAGGGUAAAAGCCUACCAAGGCGACGAUCCAUAGCUGGUCUGAGAGGAUGAUCAGCCACACUGGGACUGAGACACGGCCCAGACUCCUACGGGAGGGAGCAAUGGGGGAUUAUGGGAAAUGGGGGGAAGCCUGAUCCAGCAAUGCCGGGUGAGGGAAGAAGGGCUUAGGGUUGUAAAGCUCUUUUAACCGGGAAGAUAAUGACAGGACCGGGGGGAAAAGCCCCGGCUAACUCCGUG
rnacentral:rRNA from 1 species